rnacentral:rRNA from 1 species
UACGUAGGGUGCGAGCGUUGUCCGGAAUUAUUGGGCGUAAAGAGCUUGUAGGCGGCUUGUCGCGUCGGAUGUGAAAGCCCGGGGCUUAACUCCGGGUCUGCAUUCGAUACGGGCAGGCUAGAGUUCGGUAGGGGAGAUCGGAAUUCCUGGUGUAGCGGUGAAAUGCGCAGAUAUCAGGAGGAACACCGGUGGCGAAGGCGGAUCGCUGGGCCGAUACUGACGCUGAGGAGCGAAAGCGUGGGGAGCGAACAGG